rnacentral:rRNA from 1 species
CACGUAGGGUCCGAGCGUUGUCCGGAAUUACUGGGCGUAAAGAGCGCGCAGGCGGUCGUUCAAGUCGCGUGUGAAAGCCCCCGGCUCAACUGGGGAGGGUCACGCGAUACUGAUCGACUCGAAGGCAGGAGAGGGUAGUGGAAUUCCCGGUGUAGUGGUGAAAUGCGUAGAUAUCGGGAGGAACACCAGUGGCGAAGGCGACUACCUGGCCUGUUCUUGACGCUGAGGCGCGAAAGCUAGGGGAGCAAACGGGG